AGUAGGGAAUCUUCGGCAAUGGACGCAAGUCUGACCGAGCAACGCCGCGUGAGUGAAGAAGGUUUUCGGAUCGUAAAACUCUGUUGUUAGAGAAGAACAAGGAUGAGAGUAAAAUGUUCAUCCCUUGACGGUAUCUAACCAGAAAGCCACGGCUAACUACGUGCCAGCAGCCGCGGUAAUACGUAGGUGGCAAGCGUUGUCCGGAUUUAUUGGGCGUAAAGCGAGCGCAGGCGGUUUCUUAAGUCUGAUGUGAAAGCCCCCGGCUCAACCGGGGAGGGUCAUUGGAAACUGGGAAACUUGAGUGCAGAAGAGGAGAGUGGAAUUCCAUGUGUAGCGGUGAAAUGCGUAGAUAUAUGGAGGAACACCAGUGGCGAAGGCGGCUCUCUGGUCUGUAACUGACGCUGAGGCUCGAAAGCGUGGGGAGCAAACAGGAUCAGAUACCCUGGUAGUCCACGCCGUAAACGAUGAGUGCUAAGUGUUGGAGGGUUUCCGCCCUUCAGUGCUGCAGCUAACGCAUUAAGCA
rnacentral:rRNA from 1 species